GACGAACGCUGGAGGCGUGCUUAACACAUGCAAGUCGAACGAUGAAAUGGAGCUUGCUCCAUGGAUUAGUGGCGAACGGGUGAGUAACACGUGAAUGACCUGCCCUUAAUUUUGGAAUAACCCAGGGAAACCUGGGCUAAUACCGGAUAAGUAAACCUGUGGCAUCACAUGGUUUUGGAAAGUUUUUCGAUUAAGGAUGGAUUCGCGGUCUAUCAGCUUGUUGGUGAGGUAAUGGCUCACCAAGGCGACGACGGGUAGCCGGCCUGAGAGGGGGAACGGCCACACUGGGACUGAGACACGGCCCAGACUCCUACGGGAGGCAGCAGUGGGGAAUAUUGCGCAAUGGACGAAAGUCUGACGCAGCGACGCCUCGUGAGGGACGAAGGUCUUCGGAUUGUAAACCUCUUUCAGCAGGGACGAAGCGAAAGUGACGGUACCUGCAGAAGAAGCACCGGCUAACUAUGUGCCAGCCGCCGCCGUAA
rnacentral:rRNA from 1 species